rnacentral:rRNA from 1 species
CAGGCCUAACACAUGCAAGUCGAGGGGCAGCGAGAGGAAAGCUUGCUUUCUUUGUCGGCGACCGGCGCACGGGUGAGUAACGCGUAUCCAACCUUCCCCUUAGUAGGGCAUAGCCCGGCGAAAGUCGGAUUAACACCCUAUGUUAUCCGAAGAGGACAUCUGAAUUGGACUAAAGGUUUACCGCUAAGGGAUGGGGAUGCGUCUGAUUAGGUAGUAGGCGGGGUAACGGCCCACCUAGCCGACGAUCAGUAGGGGUUCUGAGAGGAAGGUCCCCCACAUUGGAACUGAGACACGGUCCAAACUCCUACGGGAGGCAGCAGUGAGGAAUAUUGGUCAAUGGGCGAGAGCCUGAACCAGCCAAGUAGCGUGCAGGAUGACGGCCCUAUGGGUUGUAAACUGCUUUUAUACGGGGAUAAAGUGAGGGACGUGUCCCUUUUUGUAGGUACCGUAUGAAUAAGGACCGGCUAAUUCCGUGCCAGCAGCCGCGGUAAUACGGAAGGUCCGGGCGUUAUCCGGAUUUAUUGGGUUUAAAGGGAGCGCAGGCCGAAGGUUAAGCGUGACGUGAAAUGUAGCCGCUCAACGGCUGAACUGCGUCGCGAACUGGCUUUCUUGAGUGAGUUCGAUGUAGGCGGAAUUCGUGGUGUAGCGGUGAAAUGCUUAGAUAUCACGAAGAACUCCGAUUGCGAAGGCAGCCUACAAGGCCUUUACUGACGCUAAAGCUCGAAGGUGCGGGUAUCGAACAGGAUUAGAUACCCUGGUAGUCCGCACGGUAAACGAUGGAUGCCCGCUGUUCGCGAUAGACUGUGAGCGGCCAAGAGAAAUCGUUAAGCAUCCCACCUGGGGAGUACGCCGGCAACGGUGAAACUCAAAGGAAUUGACGGGGGCCCGCACAAGCGGAGGAACAUGUGGUUUAAUUCGAUGAUACGCGAGGAACCUUACCCGGGCUUGAACUGCCAGCGAACGAUACAGAGAUGUUGAGGCCCUUCGGGGCGCUGGUGGAGGUGCUGCAUGGUUGUCGUCAGCUCGUGCCGUGAGGUGUCGGCUUAAGUGCCAUAACGAGCGCAACCCUUUUCAUUAGUUGCCAUCAGGUGAUGCUGGGCACUCUGGUGAUACUGCCACCGUAAGGUGUGAGGAAGGUGGGGAUGACGUCAAAUCAGCACGGCCCUUACGUCCGGGGCUACACACGUGUUACAAUGGGUGGUACAGAGGGCAGGAUGCACGCAAGUGCGUUCAAAUCUUAAAAGCCAUCCUCAGUUCGGAUUGGGGUCUGCAACCCGACCCCAUGAAGCUGGAUUCGCUAGUAAUCGCGCAUCAGCCAUGGCGCGGUGAAUACGUUCCCSG